UACGUAGGGGGCAAGCGUUGUCCGGAAUCAUUGGGCGUAAAGCGCGUGUAGGCGGUUCGGUAAGUCCGCUGUGAAAGUCCAGGGCUCAACCCUGGAAAGCCGGUGGAUACUGUCGAGCUAGAGUCCGGAAGAGGCGAGUGGAAUUCCUGGUGUAGCGGUGAAAUGCGCAGAUAUCAGGAGGAACACCAAUGGCGAAGGCAGCUCGCUGGGACGGUACUGACGCUGAGACGCGAAAGCGUGGGGAGCGAACAGG
rnacentral:rRNA from 1 species